UUAAUUGAAACCAAAGAGAGGUAUAUUACUGUUAAUAAUAUUAUUGAAUUUAAUAUUCCAAUUAAAUUAUGAG
rnacentral:tRNA from 1 species